rnacentral:misc_RNA from 1 species
AAGUCGUAACAAGGUUUCCGUAGGUGAACCUGCGGAAGGAUCAUUAAUGAAUUCUAGGACGUUCUUUUUAGAAGUCCGACCCUUUCAUUUUCUUACACUGUGCACACACUUCUUUUUACACACACUUUUAACACAUUAGUAUAAGAAUGUAACAGUCUCUUAAUUGAGCAUAAACAAAAAUAAAACUUUCAGCAACGGAUCUCUUGGCUCUC